GACGAACGCUGGCGGCGUGCCUAAUACAUGCAAGUAGGACGCACAGUCUAUACCGUAGCUUGCUACACCAUAGACUGUGAGUUGCGAACGGGUGAGUAACGCGUAGGUAACCUGCCUAUUAGAGGGGGAUAACUAUUGGAAACGAUAGCUAAUACCGCAUAACAGUAUGUAACACAUGUUAGAUGCUUGAAAGAUGCAAUUGCAUCGCUAGUAGAUGGACCUGCGUUGUAUUAGCUAGUAGGUAGGGUAAUGGCCUACCUAGGCGACGAUACAUAGCCGGCCUGAGAGGGUGAUCGGCCACACUGGGACUGAGACACGGCCCAGACUCCUACGGGAGGCAGCAGUAGGGAAUCUUCGGCAAUGGGGGGAACCCUGACCGAGCAACGCCGCGUGAGUGAAGAAGGUUUUCGGAUCGUAAAGCUCUGUUGUUAAGGAAGAACGAGUGUGAGAAUGGAAAGUUCAUACUGUGACGGUACUUAACCAGAAAGGGACGGCUAACUACGUGCCAGCAGCCGCGGUAAUACGUAGGUCCCGAGCGUUGUCCGGAUUUAUUGGGCGUAAAGCGAGCGCAGGCGGUUAGAAAAGUCUGAAGUGAAAGGCAGUGGCUCAACCAUUGUAGGCUUUGGAAACUGUUUAACUUGAGUGCAGAAGGGGAGAGUGGAAUUCCAUGUGUAGCGGUGAAAUGCGUAGAUAUAUGGAGGAACACCGGUGGCGAAAGCGGCUCUCUGGUCUGUAACUGACGCUGAGGCUCGAAAGCGUGGGGAGCGAACAGG
rnacentral:rRNA from 1 species